rnacentral:rRNA from 2 species
CGCUGGCGGCGUGCUUAACACAUGCAAGUCGAACGGGAUCCCUGGCGCUUGCNCCGGGGUGAGAGUGGCGAACGGGUGAGUAUGCGUGACCAACCUGCCCCAUGCACCGGAAUAGCUCCUGGAAACGGGUGGUAAUGCCGGAUGCUCCAGAUGACCGCAUGGGAUUCUGGGAAAGCUUUUGCGGCAUGGGAUGGGGUCGCGUCCUAUCAGCUUGUUGGUGGGGUGAUGGCCCACCAAGGCUUCGACGGGUAGCCGGCCUGAGAGGGCGACCGGCCACAUUGGGACUGAGAUACGGCCCAGACUCCUACGGGAGGCAGCAGUGGGGAAUAUUGCGCAAUGGGCGAAAGCCUGACGCAGCGACGCCGCGUGCGGGAUGGAGGCCUUCGGGUUGUAAACCGCUUUUAUCGGGGAGCAAGCGAGAGUGAGUGUACCCGUUGAAUAAGCACCGGCUAACUACGUGCCAGCAGCCGCGG